GCCAGCCCUAAUUUCUUAAUCCAAACCUAAUCACACACAAAUACACAAUCACGCUGCCUACAAUAGAUUUGGUCAUCUGCUGUGCUGCUUGCCGACAACAAAUUGCUGCUCUUCGUCUUCGUCUUCGUCUUCGUCCUCAUCCCCGAUCUCUAGCUUGCUGGCUAUUCCCAUUUCCUUUUGUUUCGCAACUUAAUGGUUGUUGCCGGUAGCCUGCUACCUUCUUCAACUCCGAGCUAUAGCUAAUGCCUUCUUAAUUUAGAUUUUCUUCAAGUUCGAGUUGCUGCUACUGUAUUCUUUUGUGAGAGGUAAGCUGAUGGGUUCUUUCAUUUGUACACUAGGGUUUGGGGUUCUCUGAUCAGAAUAUAUCGGCUGGUCUGGUGAUUGCUCAACCGCCGUCGAUUUUUGAGGUGCCGCCCAGGUUGAGCCCCGCAAUUCUACUUGACUCGCUAAAUUUCAGUUUGUUUUCGCCUACACAGGUAAUUCAAUUUAACUUUGUCUGACCUAAAGUUUCUUCAUUUAUUCAUUAGAUUUUAGCUUGUUUAGGAAAGCUUUCAUUUUUAUUGGGUUUCGCAUUUAAAUUCUAAUAAUCCUUGGGUUUGAAUUUUGAUUUUUUUUUUUUUGGAGGGAUGGAAAAUUUUCUUCAUUGCCUUGAUUUGUUAGCAGUCGGUUGGAAUUUUGAAUUAGAGCUUGCUGAAGCAUUUAUUAUAGAAUUUAUAAAUGUGCCCUGUAAUUGGGAUAAAAACUCUUGACUUAAUUAAUCUGACAGAAGAACAUUUUGAGCAAUGUUGUAAUGUGAUUGUGCAUUGCUGAGAUAAUCUCAUCUUGUUUUGGUAUUCUAACCAAUAAAAAAAAAUUUAAGUGUUGGACUCCCCUUCGGCUUCACAUGGCAAGCCCUAAUUUCUUAAUCCAAACCUAAUCACACACAAAUACACAAUCACGCUGCCUACAAUAGAUUUGGUCAUCUGCUGUGCUGCUUGCCGACAACAAAUUGCUGCUCUUCGUCUUCGUCUUCGUCUUCGUCCUCAUCCCCGAUCUCUAGCUUGCUGGCUAUUCCCAUUUCCUUUUGUUUCGCAACUUAAUGGUUGUUGCCGGUAGCCUGCUACCUUCUUCAACUCCGAGCUAUAGCUAAUGCCUUCUUAAUUUAGAUUUUCUUCAAGUUCGAGUUGCUGCUACUGUAUUCUUUUGUGAGAGGUAAGCUGAUGGGUUCUUUCAUUUGUACACUAGGGUUUGGGGUUCUCUGAUCAGAAUAUAUCGGCUGGUCUGGUGAUUGCUCAACCGCCGUCGAUUUUUGAGGUGCCGCCCAGGUUGAGCCCCGCAAUUCUGCUUGACUCGCUAAAUUUCAGUUUGUUUUCGCCUACACAGGUAAUUCAAUUUAACUUUGUCUGACCUAAAGUUUCUUCAUUUAUUCAUUAGAUUUUAGCUUGUUUAGGAAAGCUUUCAUUUUUAUUGGGUUUCGCAUUUAAAUGCUAAUAAUCCUUGGGUUUGAAUUUUGAUUUUUUUUUUUUUGGAGGGAUGGAAAAUUUUCUUCAUUGCCUUGAUUUGUUAGCAGUCGGUUGGAAUUUUGAAUUAGAGCUUGCUGAAGCAUUUAUUAUAGAAUUUAUAAAUGUGCCCUGUAAUUGGGAUAAAAACUCUUGACUUAAUUAAUCUGACAGAAGAACAUUUUGAGCAAUGUUGUAAUGUGAUUGUGCAUUGCUGAGAUAAUCUCAUCUUGUUUUGGUAUUCUAAGUAUCCAAAUGGACUGGAUAGUAGGCUAUCCAGGUCAAGUUUUAAUGGUAAUUGGGCAUUUUUCUUUCCUGAUUUUAGUUUCAUCUCUUUUUAGAUGAAGCAUAUGGUUAAUGCAAACAAUUAACGAAAGAAAAGCUCUUGGUAUUACUAGUGUUGGAGAUCCAAUUGUCUUCAUGUAAACUGUGAACACUUUUAACUCCCAUAUCUAAGAUAUAGAGAUCUUUAUGUAGCUUUAAGCCAAAUAUGUGAGAAAUUCUCCAAUCUAGUCACAACUUUAUUAGCAACCAAGAAUGAAAGAGUAUUAGCUUCCAGUUAUAAUUUGAUGACCGGAGCUUGAAUGAGUGAGUGAUAACUUGUAUUGUCUAUAUUGCUUUGUAUGUCAUGCCUCACUGGCAUUAUGUUACUUGGGUAUCCAAAUUUUGCGUUUAUCUAUUACUAAUUUCCCUGAUUCAUUGGAUGCAACCUAGGGAGCCUUUAGAAUGAAGCACUAGCAGGCCCUAGCACAGGUCACUGCCCAAGCUG
rnacentral:lncRNA from 1 species